UUUCCCAUUUCUCAAUGACAGAAGUUAUCACGUGGCUACAUCCUCUUCAUGUAGUAGCAAGGGUGUGAGUGAGUGAUAAUUGCUAACUAUUUACUUUUCAGAAUCGGGAAAACCAAAAUGCCAAGUUGUUUAACACAACAUUUCAUAUGCAGUCAACAAAUCAACAAAUUUUUCAAACCUCCCACUGCCGUCGUCGACGAUGACGAUGAUUUGCUCAACUGGAACUGGGAGAACAACCAACACCCUAUUAUCAACACUUACACCCGAAUUCAUCGAAACCCUAAUCCAAUUCCUUCACCUCACACCAUAAUAUAAAAACCACUAGUAGUCAAGAACAAGAAGAGAAGCUACGUUCAGUUCCAUUUGGAAUUAGGUCAAUCCGGUUUUUAUUACGCGUGCACUCCACCUGUGCUAUUGAGUUUACUCCCGGAGAUGUCGAAGACGAGAAAUUACACGCUCAAUUUCACUAAAUUUAUGCGCAAGGAAUCCAAUUUAGAGAUUGGAAUAAUGAAAGGGUUGUUUAUUAUGAUAAAUGUUGGAUAAUGAUCCAUCUUUCCACAGAAUAAACAAGGUUCAUGAAGUUGUGAAGAUGAUGGGAAGUGGAUGGAUAACGAAUCAACAUUGUAAGGUGGAUAAUGUUAAACAUCACCUCAAAAAACUUACUUGCAAUCUUAUUCUAGUAACAGGUGAAAUUUGAGACAGGUUCUUAUUCUAGUAACAGAAUUUGUAAUCUUCAAUCUUUAUUCAAAGGAAAAUCUAGUCAUUAUACAACAGGAACUUCUGUAAUAUCUUGUGAUACGUUAUCCGAAGAAAAGCCUAAAGAGAAUUCUGUUUCUGAUAUGUUGGUUGAUUCAUUUGGAAGGAUUCAUACUUACUUGAGAAUAUCAUUAACAGAGAGAUGUAAUUUAAGGUGUAAGUAUUUUAUGCCAGCUGAAGGUCUGGAGUUAACUCCUACUGAUCAGGUGUAAGUAUUUUAGAAAUUUGUAAGACAACUUAUAUUUAGGUGUUUAUGUCUUGUUUGCUUAAGACUAGAGUAUAUGACCUAUAGUUCUAUGAAACAAAAAUACGACACUUGUUAUAUAAGUGUCAUAUGGGUGUCGGGCACCGAUUUUAAAGAGUGUCGAACCAAAGAAAAUAAAUCGUUUCUUUGGGGACACCUAUUUGACUUUUCUAACAAUUGUUGAAUGGAGUGGAGAAAGCACAACAUAUUGAAUGGAGUAAGAUCCAGUUGUUUUGUUUUGUAUUUAUUGAACUGGUUAAUAAACACUUGUUUGAAUAUGGUUUUGUAAAAUUUAGUGAAUACAUGGAUUGAGCUUUAAGAUGAACUUCCUGAACAAUGGACAUAUGUGAACUGUGAUUAAGUGACUAUUUGAUGGCUGGUCUCUUUUCAUUACUUUGUUUGAAUAGAAUGCAGAGUGGACGCCUCUUGUUUGAAUAGUGUUUGAUGUUGAUGUUUUUAAGUCAAAACUUUCACGGUCUAGUUCAUGAUAUAUCUUGUGCUACGAGCUUCUGAAGUCUUAUGUGUUGAAGUUUAAUUAUAGAGCAUUAUACAUAGCUUGAUGUUUUAUUAUGUGGCAUGGUUUGACUUUAUAGUCAUUAAGAGAUCAAAUGAUUUAUACAGGCAUUGAUAAAGUCAACUAGCAGGCUUAGAGAUGCAUUACUUCCUUAAGAUGAACCGAAGUUGGCAACCCCCCCUUGCUUCUUCUUGCUCAGCAGCGAUCUCUGGUUCUCGUCAAUGCAAAUGCACCCUACAUUAAGAUGCGUCCUGCUUUAAUACCAUUUCAUUCCAUGGAAUUGCGGCUGAUUGAUGGCGAGGGUAAUUGGCAACUCCGUUUGAUCAAGCAAUGAUACUCUGAACCAAGAUGUAACCGAUGCCAUUCAGAAGAUUGUUGCUGCCUAUGAUUGUACGAUUGUUGAGGGUGUUCGUAGCCACCAAAUGAAGUAGUUUGUGAUUGAUGCAAAUAAGGUUGUGCUAAAUGUAUCUAAUCCGGAUACUAGGGUUGAUGAUGCGGAGUUUGAAGAAAAUGAAGUUUAUGCAAUUGAUAUUGUAGCCAGCACCGAAGAAGGAAAGUUUAUUCCGUAAACAUUAGUCAGAUCUUGACUUUGAGUCGGAUCCAUGGCCAACAAUCUCUGACAGUGCUAAAGAUUUGGUAAAACUGAUGUUGGAUAGAGACCCAAAGAAUAGAAUCUCUGCUCAUAAUGUCUUAUGUCAUCCUUGGAUUGUUGAUGCCUUUGUCCUAUGCUGUUUUGACAUGCUUAAAGUAUUUCUGUCAACAACUUUCAUCAUAAUUUAUGAUGGAACUGUAAUUGUCUUCAAGUUUUAUGAGGAGCUGGUGGUGGUCCUUCUUGCAAGCUUUUUACUUAAUCUGCAGCACUUAGUUGGCUACUCGUUCUGCAGCACUUGAUCUGCAGCUUGCAACACUCACUCUGCAUUACACGAUCCAUAACGCUCACAGUCCUUGCCUCUCGUCCUCUUCUUCGUUCAUCAGGUUGAACUGGUGCGUUAUAAACUUAG